rnacentral:misc_RNA from 1 species
UUUGUGAAUAUUAGUAAUAAAAGUAUUUUUUGAGAUUAAUUGAGUUUUCGAGAUUCCUAAAAUUAAUGCAGAUAAGUGUAAUGCCUGUUUCUAUCGUAACAAAAAUAUAUCUAAAAGAAAGUAUUCAGCACAAACAAAAAUGGAAUGUUGUAAGGCAUAUAAUAUAGGCUGCAAAAAAAAUGAUGGCACAAGCAUAACAAUCGUCUGUGAUUGAAAUUUUAUGUACUUCAUCAACUUCAAAUUUACUAAUGACUUCUGGACCGUUGCCUCAGCCUGUGAUUACCGGUACAAAGAUUAUUAUGGAUUUAGAUCCAUCUUACCGUAUAACAAUUAUCGUCAAUUUGAUAUUUUCAAUUAUCAAAGUAUGCGGGCUCACUCCAGUGAUUUGAUUUAUUCAAUUAUACAAAAAUUUCAAAUUUUAAUGUUGAGUGAAACUUAGUUAUAUGAUAAGGAGUCUGUUAAUAUACUGAAUUUCAAUUGUAUAAUUUAAUACAAAUGAUCAAAUGUUCGAGCUGGAGAAGUUGCUAUCUUCCACAAUGUGAAUGGUACAACUAACAUUGUGACCGCUACUAUUGACAUGACUGUGAGAUAGUCCGAUUUUGCUAGUUAUGCGAUGUCAUCAGUGGGUGAAUUUUGUAUAGUGGAGUGUAAAACAUAAGAUGGUAAUAAAAUUGUGUUAAUAGCAA